UACAGAGGUCUCAAGCGUUGUUCGGAUUCAUUGGGCGUAAAGAGCUCGUAGGCGGUUUGUCGCGUCUUCCGUGAAAACUGGGGGCUUAACUUCCAGCUUGCAGUGGAUACGGGCUGACUGGAGUGCGGCAGGGGAGACUGGAAUUCCUGGUGUAGCGGUGAAAUGCGCAGAUAUCAGGAGGAACACCGGUGGCGAAGGCGGGUCUCUGGGCCGUUACUGACGCUGAGACGCGAAAGCGUGGGGAGCGAACAGG
rnacentral:rRNA from 1 species